rnacentral:rRNA from 1 species
CCUACGGGAGGCUGCAGUGGGGGAUAUUGCACAAUGGGGGGAACCCUGAUGCGGCGACGCCGCGUGAGCGAAGAAGUACCUCGGUAUGUAAAGCUCUAUCAGCAGGGAAGCAAAUGACGGUACCUGACUAAUAAGCCCCGGCUAAAUACGUGCCAGCAGCCGCGGUACUACGUAUGGGGCAAGCGUUAUCCGGAUUUACUGGGUGUAAAGGGAGUGCAGGCGGCCUGCCAAGUCUGGUGUGAAAACCCGGGGCCCAACCCCGGGCCUGCAUUGGAAACUGGCGGGCUUGAGUGUCGGAGGGGCAGGCGGAAUGCCUAGUGUAGCGGUGAAAUGCGUAGAUAUUAGGAGGAACACCGGUGGCGAAGGCGGCUUACUGGACUGUAACUGACGUUGAGGCUCGAAAGCGUGGGGAGCAAACAGGAUUAGAUACCCUGGUAGUC